UGCUGUGUGGCAUAGUGGUUUGAGUGUUGGACUACAACUCUGGAGACUAGUGUUCGAUUCCCACUCAGUCA